CGACAACUACGGUGCACAACUGGCUGCGUAAGUAGCCCUUUGUAACACCAUCCAGGUGCUUCGGCCCUGGCGGUCUAUCCUAAGAUGCCAGUAUCGAGGGUGUGACUGUCAUUUAGAACUGGACCGCGGUGGCUCAUGUCUCGGGAGUCGCCGUCAAAUUUUACGAGAAUCGCGGUCUUCGUCCUGACCGUUGGGCUGUUGGCCGUUAAAUUAAUUAACGGAAACUAAGCAUGUAGAGCCAAAGGCAGAGUACUGGCGGACGCGGGUUCAACUCCCGCCGCCUCCACCA
rnacentral:tmRNA from 1 species